rnacentral:piRNA from 1 species
UUUGAAAAUAAUUAGUUUAUU